GGACUUUUCACAAGUACCCCAGGAACAGAGACUGUCAUUACUUAAAAUAUAUCUGAAGCGGAUGCCCAUUAUCAAGUUGAUUACAUGCCAUGCACGCCUACAUCAGACAACACCAAUGUGGAGAAUUGAGAGCUGAAGAAAAUGGAACAAGCCAUAUUUGUUCGACUGGACAAAGUGGAUCAGAAACUUUCAGAUAUCAAAUCCAUGCUUUUAGGUCUUGUUCCACCAAAUAACUCUUCUCAUGAGUUUCUGUUAAAUCCUUGCAUUUCAUUGGAUGAUUUGUGCGUGAAGUUAAAAGAUGGCGAAUAUAAGAAUAAAACUAUCCAUCACCUCAGCCUUCUUGAUAGCAAAACUCCAGGUGAUGCUGUAAGGAGGGUGUUGCGCACAGUUGCCACAAACAAUGUGUGGGCUCAGUACAGCAUGAAGGGUCGAAAGAGAAAGAAAAGCCUUGAAGACCUGGAAAUCUGCACUGUGAUCAUUCGAACGUGUUCCAAUAAAAGAUUUUCUUUUUUAUUUACCUCAAUUGUGAUAUUGCUUUUAUACAAUCAGCAAGCAUAUUUGUUCAAUAAAUGGCCAUUUAAAACAGAUAUUCUGAUAUUCUUACUUUUGCCUAGCUUUGCUCUAUGGUUAUUUCAGAAUCCCAACAGAAUUCAUUCAGAUUCAUUGCACCUGUGAAAUGAUGGGAUACCUUCUUUAGAAUAUCUUUGUUUUGUUAUGCUAUUUAGGGCUUUUCACACGGCUUAUCCAUAGUUUAAAGGAGAUGUUAAACCAGGGUUAAGGAAAA